rnacentral:snRNA from 1 species
UUUCAAAAAUUCACUCAUCAGUU